rnacentral:rRNA from 1 species
GACGAACGCUGGCGGCGCGCUUAACACAUGCAAGUCGAACGGGAAGGCCUGCUUUCCCUUGUGGAUUGCGGGUACUCGAGUGGCGAACGGGUGAGUAACACGUGAGUGAUCUGCCCCCAACUUGGGUAUAAGCCUGGGAAACUGGGUCUAAUUCCCGAUAGGACUGCAGGGUGGUGCCUGUGGUGGAAAACGAUUUUCUAGUGGUUGGGGAUGAGCUCGCGGCCUAUCAGCUUGUUGGUGGGGUAAUGGCCUACCAAGGCGGCGACGGGUAGCCGGCCUGAGAGGGUGGACGGCCACAUUGGGACUGAGAUACGGCCCAGACUCCUACGGGAGGCAGCAGUGGGGAAUAUUGCACAAUGGGCGGAAGCCUGAUGCAGCGACGCCGCGUGGGGGAUGACGGCCUUCGGGUUGUAAACUCCUUUCGACCGCGAGGAAGCCACCUGGUUGGAAGGGUGGUGACGGUAGUGGUAGAAGAAGCACCGGCUAACUACGUG